AAUUUUGACAAGGUUUCCGUAGGUGAACCUGCGGAAGGAUCAUUACCGAGUGCGGGCCCUCGUGGCCCAACCUCCCACCCUUGUCUCUAUACACCCGUUGCUUUGGCGGGCCCACCGGGGCCACCUGGUCGCCGGGGGACGUUCGUCCCCGGGCCCGCGCCCGCCGAAGCGCUCUGUGAACCCUGAUGAAGAUGGGCUGUCUGAGUACUAUGAAAAUUGUCAAAACUUUCAACAAUGGAUCUCUUGGUUCCGGCAUCGAUGAAGAACGCAGCGAAAUGCGAUAAGUAAUGUGAAUUGCAGAAUUCCGUGAAUCAUCGAAUCUUUGAACGCACAUUGCGCCCCCUGGCAUUCCGGGGGGCAUGCCUGUCCGAGCGUCAUUUCUGCCCUCAAGCACGGCUUGUGUGUUGGGUGUGGUCCCCCCGGGGACCUGCCCGAAAGGCAGCGGCGACGUCCGUCUGGUCCUCGAGCGUAUGGGGCUCUGUCACUCGCUCGGGAAGGACCUGCGGGGGUUGGUCACCACCAUAUUUUACCACGGUGACCUCGGAUCAGGUAGGAGUACCCGCGAACUAAA
rnacentral:misc_RNA from 1 species